rnacentral:rRNA from 1 species
GAUGAACGCUGGCGGCGUGCCUAAUACAUGCAAGUCGAACGGAGACAUUGUAGCAAUACGAUGUUCUUAGUGGCGAACGGGUGAGUAACGCGUUGGUGACCUGCCCCGAAGAGGGGGAUAACAGUCCGAAAGGACUGCUAAUACCCCAUGUGGUCUCAGGGAUUAGAUGCCUUGAGACUAAAGGAGUAAUCCACUUUGGGAGGGACCUGCGUCCCAUCAGCUAGUUGGUAAGGUAACGGCUUACCAAGGCUUCGACGGGUAGGGGACCUGAGAGGGUGGCCCCCCACAAUGGAACUGAAACACGGUCCAUACACCUACGGGUGGCAGCAGUAGGGAAUAUUGGUAAUGGGCGAAAGCCCGAACCAGCAACGCCGCGUGUGCGAUGAAGGCCUUCGGGUAGUAAAGCACUUUUUGAGAAGAUGAUGAAGGACAGUACUCUCAGAAUAAGUCUCGGCUAACUACGUGCCAGCCGCCGCCGUAAUAC